CCUACGGGUGGCUGCAGUGAGGAAUAUUGGUCAAUGGGCGGAAGCCUGAACCAGCCAAGUAGCGUGCGGGAUGAAUGCCCUACGGGUCGUAAACCGCUUUUGCACGGGGAUAACACCCUCCACUUGUGGAUGUCUGCAGGUACCGUGCGAAUAAGGGCCGGCUAAUUCCGUGCCAGCAGCCGCGGUAAUACGGAAGGCCUGAGCGUUAUCCGGAUUCAUUGGGGUUAAAGGGAGCGUAGGCGGGCGUUCAAGUCAGCUGUAAAAUCGCGCGGCUCAACCGCGCCCCGCAGUUGAAACUGGAGGCCUUGAGUUCACAACAGGCAGGCGGAAUACGUGGUGUAGCGGUGAAAUGCAUAGAUAUCACGAAGAACCCCGAUUACGAAGGCAGCCUGCCGGGGUGCGACUGACGCUGAGGCUCGAAGGUGCGGGUAUCAAACAGGAUUAGAUACCCUUGUAGUC
rnacentral:rRNA from 1 species